GACGAACGCUGGCGGCGUGCUUAACACAUGCAAGUCGAGCGGUAAAGGCCCUUUCGGGGGUACACGAGCGGCGAACGGGUGAGUAACACGUGGGUGACCUGCCCUCAGCUCUGGGAUAAGCCUGGGAAACUGGGUCUAAUACCGGAUAUGACUCCAUGACGCAUGUUGUGGGGUGGAAAGCCUUGUGCGGCUGAGGAUGGGCCCGCGGCCUAUCAGCUUGUUGGUGGGGNGAUGGCCUACCAAAGCGACGACGGGUAGCCGGCCUGAGAGGGCGACCGGCCACACUGGGACUGAGACACGGCCCAGACUCCUACGGGAGGCAGCAGUGGGAAUCUUGCGCAAUGGGCGAAAGCCUGACGCAGCGACGCCGCGUGAGGGAUGACGGCCUGGUGU
rnacentral:rRNA from 1 species